UUGCUGAGGUCUCAGUUUCAGCUGCAACUCCAAGCAUCCCUUCUCCUUUGCGUGCUUUAGGCGGUCCAGGCACCUUUUACCGAGACCCCCUCGCCGACUGGCCGGCAGGCCUGGUUCGCCGCUCCCGUGAGCCCUGCGGAAGCGUUAAGGGACCGCGUGCUGAAGCCUUGGCGUUUUCCACGUGACGGUGCCAUCCGGGCAGCCUUUAGCAACAGCCGAGGGGUUGCCGUGAGUUGGGGAUGUCGGGAGGAGGAGCGAGGGCCCGCUCGAGUUUCGGCAGUGACAGAUCACCUUGUCUCCUCCUAACGCAGGCGUGCCCCGCGAUGAUGGCAUCUGGCUCCGGGCGUGGCCGAAGCGUGCGGCCCUGGGAUGCGGGCGUUCUCGAGAGACCGUGAGUAGCAGACUUGUCAGGGUUUGCCCGAUGUUCUGCUAAGAUCCUGGGAUGAUGUUCUGUUCUUUUUCGUGUAGCUCAUCAAGAGACAGCAGCAUGGUGACGGCAGGAACUGGGCAGACGACGAGACGGCAUUCCUUGGCAGCCCGUGUGGACUCUCACCCCCCGGGCGUCCGAGAGCUAACUCAAAGGCUACGAUCCGCAGAGGGGGGAUGGAAGCGGGGUGCCGGGCUGGGACUCGUGGCCAGGAAGUUUUGAGUCUGCUUUGGACGUAGCGAGGUUCAAGAAGUGGCCCUUUAGGCCACCUCAAGGGAAAGCCUCACUUUGGCUCCCAAUGCUGAGGUGCACAGGGCAGAGCGGUCCGGGGAUGUGUCGGGUCACUUGUCUGUCGUGCCUUUUGUGCACCUCGUGUCGUAUGUGUCUUGCCUCAGCCCUUCCAGGAGGUUACAGGAAACCCUGGCGUCACUCUUAACAUCUCUGAUCUCUUGGUUCCUCGGCCUGGCGCUGACACUGUCAGAGCUGUGCCUCGGGACCUCUCAGAGGCCUUGGAAUCCCAUCUCUGUUUUUAAGCAUCCGAUCGGGUGUCUUUUGAGGUCUUGUUCUGAGCUGUGUCCACAGCCGUGCGCCGCAAGGAUCCAUUGUAGCGGGCUAGGACUUGUCCGAAUGCAAGGACAGCCAGAGAAUUGUGGCCGUAGGAUUCUCGGGCAUCCGUAUUUGCGCUUCUCGGGAUAAGUCAUCGUGUCAGCAUCUUCUUUCUUCAGGGUUGUCUCGGCCUUAUCAGCUCGCCAUCAUUCUCACCUGGGCCAUCUUGUUCCGCAUUCUCUCCGUCCUUGCGGCCAUUCUUCUGGCCCGGAGUUUUGUCUCCCUGUUGUGUCCCCUUGUCUGUUGUCUUGUGUGUCACGGGUGUCUGGGUGUAUUUGGGUCGGAGCUGCUCUGCCCUGCUGCAGAGGCUGGCUGGCCUAUGGUCAGCUGCCUUGGGAGAGGCUUCAGAUUAAACCAACUGCUGAAUGAUUUAAUUAGUCUGGUACCUACGGCUUCUGAUCAUUUGCUUUGUACAAAUGCAUUUCAACAGUUUGCUGUGCUGUAAGCAUCUCAUAGCUGCUACUCUUGAGAACCUUGUUUUAGAAAUUAGUUAAAAGGCAUCUUUCCAGUUUAAAGCCUAGGCUAUGUCCAAGCCUUGACUUUACCUGGAUAGAGAAUUUACCAAUAAACCCAGAAGUUUUCUGCAUCGAAACAAUAUUCAGGUCAAUCUGACUUGGCAAUUAGUGAAUUAAUAUAGCAGCUGGAUUUUACAGUGGGCUUGGAAAAUUGUUAUCCGGACAUGAUUUUCCAAUCUUCCAUUGAUUUAUCAGCUGUGGCAAACUCUGGGAUGGGAGUAUAUAUUUAGAAUAUUCAGUAAUUCAUAUUACAGAUAAUUUAGAUAAGUUUAGUAUCGCAUAAUAUCAAUUAUGCAUCUUUUUAAUAAGUUUUUGAUUUCUGUAAAAAUGUUAUUUCCUAUAUGUAUACAUAUGCGUGUUUUACUUUGAUGGUUUUUCGUUGUCAGAACAAGACAGCAGAUAUUUUACCUUUGUUUACAAGAGAGGGGGAGGAAACAGAGGUUGCAGUUCAGAAGCAUGGAAACAUGAUGUUCAAAACAGAAGUAACUUCCUAGCGAAGAACAUGGAAAUUCAUCAGCUGCAGAGACAAACAGACAGCCCAAAGAGCAGAAGAGCGAGCACGCAGAUGUGAACCGUAUCAAAACCACAGCUGACAGCUGAACAACUUUGAUCCCACAUGCCAGAGCAAUGAACUUUGUGUUUCAUGUGAAAGAGUGGGAAAAUUGAUAUUGUAAAACCUCACUUGUUAAAUAAAGCAUGGUGUGAACUGUGUCAAGA